GCGGGGAGGGGAGAAGAGAGGAAGCAAGCUAACCGGAGAGAGAGCAGCUUGAGCUGAGCUUUCACUCACCGUCCACCACUGCUGUUUGCUGCCAUCGCAGACUUGCCACUGACUUCCACCCCUCCAGAUCCAGCAGGGUGUCUGCUGCUCUCCUGAUCCAGCGAGGUGCUCAUUGCCACUCCUGAUCGGGCUAAAGGCUCUCUAUCGUUCCUGCACAGCUAAGUGCCCGGGUCAUGGGUUUUGAAAUCUCACGUUAUUUGACAACACCUUCAAGAGAAGAAGAGUUAUGCCUGACUACUACUGGCAUUGUAGAUGGCAGAAUAUCUCAGGGU
rnacentral:lncRNA from 1 species